rnacentral:rRNA from 1 species
ACUCCUACGGGAGGCAGCAGUAAAGAAUCUUCCACAAUGGGGAAGCCAUCGAUGGAGCAAUACCGCGUGGGCGAUGAAGGUCGAAAGAUUGUAAAGCCCUUUUCUGAGGGAAGAAUUCUGACGGUACCUCAGGAAUAAGCACCGGCUAACUCCGUGCCAGCAGCCGCGGUAAUACGGAGGGUGCAAGCGUUAUCCGGAAUCAUUGGGCGUAAAGCGUCCGCAGGCGGUUCUUUAAGUCAAAUAUUAAAUUACGAUGCCCAACAUCGUAGCCGUAUUUGAAACUGGAGAACUAGAGUCAUUCAGAGGUGCGUGGAAUUCUGUGUGUAGGGGUAAAAUCCGUAGAUACACAGAGGAACACCAAAAGCGAAGGCAGCGCACUGGGAAUGUACUGACGCUCAUGGACGAAAGCGUAGGUAGCGAACGGGAUUAGAUACCCUGGUAGGUC